rfam:Ictidomys tridecemlineatus contig072401, whole genome shotgun sequence.
UGGGGUGCAGCUCAGUGGUAGAGCACUUGCCUAGCAUGCCCAAGGUCCUAGUUUCAAUCCCUAGCACCACAA